AUGCAAUCUACCUUUUACAGAGGGAUAGCCCAGAGAAAUUUGGAUUAAUACCUCAUAGUAUAUAGAGUUGGCAUCAACUUUAUAUUAAAGUCACAACGGUAAAAGAUGAGCAUGCGUCCCAUUAGCUAGUUGGUAAGGUAACGGCUUACCAAGGCUACGAUGGGUAGGGGUCCUGAGAGGGAGAUCCCCCACACUGGUACUGAGACACGGACCAGACUCCUACGGGAGGCAGCAGUGAGGAAUAUUGGACAAUGGGCGCAAGCCUGAUCCAGCCAUGCCGCGUGCAGGAUGACGGUCCUAUGGAUUGUAAACUGCUUUUGCACAGGAAGAAACAUCCCGACGUGUCGGGACUUGACGGUACUGUGAGAAUAAGGAUCGGCUAACUCCGUGCCAGCAGCCGCGGUAAUACGGAGGAUCCAAGCGUUAUCCGGAAUCAUUGGGUUUAAAGGGUCCGUAGGCGGUUUGGUAAGUCAGUGGUGAAAGCCCAUCGCUCAACGGUGGAACGGCCAUUGAUACUGCCAGACUUGAAUUAUUAGGAAGUAACUAGAAUAUGUAGUGUAGCGGUGAAAUGCUUAGAGAUUACAUGGAAUACCAAUUGCGAAGGCAGGUUACUACUAAUGGAUUGACGCUGAUGGACGAAAGCGUGGGUAGCGAACAGGAUUAGAUACCCUGGUAGUCCACGCCGUAAACGAUGGAUACUAGCUGUUGGGAGCAAUCUCAGUGGCUAAGCGAAAGUGAUAAGUACC
rnacentral:rRNA from 1 species